rnacentral:rRNA from 1 species
UACGAAGGGGGCUAGCGUUGCUCGAAGAUCACUGGGCGUAAAGGGCGCGUAGGCGGCCAUUCAAGUCGGAGGUGAAAGCCCAGGGCUCAACCCUGGAAUUGCCUUCGAUACUGUUUGGCUAGAGACCGGAAGAGGUAAGUGGAACUGCGAGUGUAGAGGUGAAAUUCGUAGAUAUUCGCAAGAACACCAGUGGCGAAGGCGGCUUACUGGUCCGGUUCUGACGCUGAGGCGCGAAAGCGUGGGGAGCAAACAGG